CACGUCUAGUAUUUGCUUAGUUUAAUCAUACUGUGCGUACCAACAAACAAGCUUCAACUUCCACAGUCUCUCCUAGUAGCCAUGAUUCAGAAUCCUAUGGAUCACCCACUACCCAAACACUGCGGAAGCGGCAGAGGAAUCUCCUGUGUGAACAGCUGGAAAGCUUUAUAAUGAUGAUGGAUGCCUAUGCACUGAUGGUCAGCACUCUGUUGCAUAAUGAUACUCAACAUAUAUUUACUGAAAUUGAACAUUCUGCAAUGUAUAAUUAUGCCAAGUAUCUAUACACAACAUUUCUGAAUAUUUUUUUAUCAGCAGUGAGAAGUCUUUAUCCAGGCAGCGACAUCUUUAUCAAUUGCGGGGGCAUCUUCUAUCUUCAUCCCGGCAGUGCAGAGCGGAGCUAUCCAGGACCGGUGAUGGCAUCCUGCGCAGAGCGUCCUCUUCAUACAAUCACUGCCGUACACUGAAGUUGAAUGCAAGGUACCUGUUUAAAAAUUGCGUACCUUGCAUUCCUAUUGGCUGAUUUGAUUCUUCAAAUUCAAAUCAGCCAAUAGGAUGAAAACUACUGAAAUCCUAUUGGCUUCUUUAGCUCAGGUUCACACAAAUGUACUUUUACUAGAUAUUGCACUUAAAGCGAUACUAAACCCAAUUUUUUUCUUUCAUGAUUCUGAUAGAGCAUGCAAUU